CCUGAUUAGACUCAUCCGAUAAAAUUGAGUUGAAAUUAGAUGCGUGUGGGUUGGUCCGAUGAUGCUCCAGCAGGCGAAACCAUAACCUUGCACCCCCGUAUGUCUAACUCCUUUCUUCAUAAUAAAACCCUAACCUCUCUCUCUCUCUCGCCUCUAGAUGUGGGUACUAUGGGAAUUUAUAUUUUUCGCUUCGAUAGGAAUUAAUCGUUGAUGGAAAAGAAAGGACUUGAAGUAGUUCAAGAGACGUAGCUCACUGGAUCGUGAAGGAUUUGGUGAACCAUGUUACUUUGAAUACAAGACUUUGGCUUCUAUAUCCCUGGACUAAAGUGCAAGGGUGACAAUUAUUGAUGACAAGAAGAAAACAGGAGGAUUGAGCUUAUGGGUCAUUGUCUUCAUCAUUCUAGUUGUUGUUGCUGUAAUGGCUAAAAUUAGGUUUGAUCAUUAAAAUUAGAUUUGAUCUCUGGGGCCAAAGGCAUCUAAUAGCUGAAAUUAGGUUUGAGACUCUACAGUUUUGUCGGCUUGUUGGCCUGAGAAUAGAUGGCAAUUUUAAUGAGGUUUUUGGGGUUGUGGCAUUUUGAAGUUAAUUUGCGGUGGUGAUUGAUUUUUAUUA